rnacentral:rRNA from 1 species
CUUGUAAACUCCUGUAAAGAAGGAAAAAAUUCCCAUUUGAUGGGAGAUGAUGGUACUUCUGGAGUAAGCCCCGGCUAACUACGUGCCAGCAGCCGCGGUAAUACGUAGGGGGCAAGCGUUGUCCGGAUUUACUGGGUGUAAAGGGUGCUCAGGCGGAUUUGUAAGUCAGAGGUGAAAUCUUACAGCUUAACUGUGAAACUGCCUUUGAUACUGCAAGCCUAGAGUAUGGAAGAGAGCGAUGGAAUAUCCGGUGUCGCAGUGAAAUGCGUAGAUAUCAGAUAGAACACCAAUGGCGAAGGCAGUCACUUGGUCGAUUACUGACGCUAAAGCACGAAAGCGUGGGUAGCAAACA